AUCAGGGAGGUCAGUGUGUGCCCUCAGGGCCGGAGAGUAACAUCAGGGAGGUCAGUGUGUGCCCUCAGGGCCGGAGAGUAACAUCAGGGAGGUCAGUGUGUGCCCUCAGGGCCGGAGAGUAACAUCAGGGAGGUCAGUGUGUGCCCUCAGGGCCGGAGAGUAACAUCAGGGAGGUCAGUGUGUGCCCUCAGGGCCAGAGAGUAACAUCAGGGAGGUCAGUGUGUGCCCUCAGGGACACAGAGAGUAACAUCAGGGAGGUCAGUGUGUGCCCUCAGGGCCGGAGAGUAACAUCAGGGAGGUCAGUGUGUGCCCUCAGGGCCGGAGAGUAACAUCAGGGAGGUCAGUGUGUGCCCUCAGGGCCGGAGAGUAACAUCAGGGAGGUCAGUGUGUGCCCUCAGGGCCGGAGAGUAACAUCAGGGAGGUCAGUGUGUGCCCUCAGGGACACAGAGAGUAACAUCAGGGAGAUCAGUGUGUGCCCUCAGGGACACAGAGAGUAACAUCAGGGAGGUCAGUGUGUGCCCUCAGGGCCGGAGAGUAACAUCAGGGAGGUCAGUGUGUGCCCUCAGGGACACAGAGAGUAACAUCAGGGAGGUCAGUGUGUGCCCUCAGGGACACAGAGAGUAACAUGAGGGAGGUGAGUGUCUGCCGUCAGGGAGAUAGAGAGAGAGUAACAUCAGGGAGAUAUAGAGAGAGUAACAUCAGGGAGAUAUAGAGAGAGUAACAUCAGGGAGUUGAGUGUCUGCCAUUGGGGAGAUAGAGAGAGAGAGUAACAUCCCGGAGAUAGAGAGAGUAACAUCAGGGAGAUAGAGAGAGAGUAACAUCAGUGAUGUGAGUGUCUGCCGUCAGGGAGAUAGAGAGAGAGUAACAUCAGGGAGAUAGAGAGAGAGUAACAUCAGGGAGAUAUAGAGAGAGUAACAUCAGGGAGAUAGAGAAUGAGGGUAACAUCAG